rnacentral:rRNA from 1 species
UACAGAGGGGGCAAGCGUUAUUCGGAAUUAUUGGGCGUAAAGGGCGCGUAGGCGGCUUGGCAAGUGGAAGGUGAAAUCCCUCGGCUUAACCGAGGAACUGCCCUCCAAACUGCUUCGCUUGAGACCGGGAGAGGUGAGUGGAAUUCCCAGUGUAGCGGUGAAAUGCGUAGAUAUUGGGAGGAACACCAGUGGCGAAGGCGGCUCACUGGACCGGUCCUGACGCUGAUGCGCGAAAGCGUGGGGAGCAAACGGG